rnacentral:piRNA from 1 species
UGCUAUACUUCUGGGAUACUGACUUUC